ACCUUGUGCUAUUGAUCAGAGUCUGUGUUUCUUGGAGCAGAAGGAGCCAUGGAUGAGAGGCUGGCGGCCAGUCCCUGCUCCUCUGAACCCGACAGUCCCAGAGGUCUGAACCGAGGCUGUCUCCUUGACCCUGCAGAUGUCCACCAUGAUUUGUCCGUCAUUGUCCCCGAGACCCCCAGCCCAGAGCUCAGCAGGAGGAGGAGACGUCGUAUCACAGAGGAGCGUUUCAGCCCGGUGGCGGUUAGCAACUCUCCAGGAUCAGAGCACCUCACGGCCACUGAACGAGGGUUUUCUCAUAAAUCCAAGCGCAGGAGGUUGGCCGAGCAGAGCGUGGGCUUCCUUCCUGCUUCCUCUCUGAGGACGUUGCCUCUCGGCACCUGGUUGAACAAACCGUUAUCCACUGCACCCUCUUCCUCUACCUCCUCCUCCUCAUCAUCAUCGUCCUCUUCUUCCUCCUCGUCCCCCUCGUCAUCAUCCGCCUCCAGCCUCACACCAGCAUCAGUCCUCCGGUCCAGACAUAUUCAGACCACCUCAUUGUCGCCCUCAUCAUCAUCUGCAGCAGCAGCAGCUUCCAGCCCCGGGUCACUGUCCUUCCUCACUGCAGAGGAGAGGAGGUGGUUGAACGGAGAACAAGGAGACGCCUCAGCAGUGGCUGCAGAGCAGAUCGUCAUCAGCGAUGAUGAAGAGCUGGUGGUUCGCUCGUUACAGAUGGAGGAGGACGAGGCGCUGGCUCGAAGCCUCCAGGAUCAGUUUGACCGAGAGGAGUCAGACAGCAGACACCACCACCACCAUCAUCCUCCUCCUCCUCCUCAUCCUCCUCCCCAUCAUCUUCAUCAGCAGCAGCAGAGUCAACACAGGUAUUAUGCCUACAUGGAGCACAGCUGGAUGUCCCAAGUACUGGCUGCUGUUUCCCCUCUGGUGGGUCUGGAAGAAGAUCUGACUGGUCAACGCAGACGACGCGGCAGGAGGAGGAACGGCAUGCCCGACUUUUCUGAUGAUCUACAGGGAAAUGAUUACGAGGCUCUGCUGGCGUUUGAGGAGCGUCAGGGCUCCGUCGUGUCCAGGAAGCUGAGCCGGAGCGACAUCCAGAGGUUUCCCACCAAAACGUUCCGGUCAGCGAGCGGCGCCGACAACACACAGUGUCACAUCUGUUUCUCUGACUACGCUGAUGGGGAGAAGCUGAGGAUGCUGCCCUGUUUCCAUGACUACCACGUCCAGUGCAUCGACCGGUGGCUGAAGGUAGCGACUCUCAAACGUUGGCUUCGCUGAAAAGAGACCAAACAUUAACAUCCAUCCUGAGUGAUUUGAUUAUGGCUGCACAGGACAACACCACGUGUCCCAUCUGCAGAGUGAACCUGAGUGAUGGAGACUCCGUGGCCCCGACGCUCUGACGACCGGACGUUUUUACAGAUUUCUGUUUUAUUGAGAUGUUUUGCUGCGUGUUGAUCUACAGAAGCUGAAUAAAUAAUAAAGCUGUUCUUUUUCUCGUG